rnacentral:rRNA from 1 species
GACAGAGGGGGCAAGCGUUGCUCGGAAUUACUGGGCGUAAAGGGCGCGUAGGCGGGCUGGCAAGUCGGUCGUGAAAUCCCUCGGCUCAACUGAGGAUCGUCGAUCGAUACUGCCGUUCUUGAGGAUUGCAGAGGAGACUGGAAUUCCCGGUGUAGCGGUGAAAUGUGUAGAGAUCGGGAGGAACACCGGUGGCGAAGGCGGGUCUCUGGGCAAUUCCUGACGCUGAGGCGCGAAAGCGUGGGGAGCGAACGGG